rnacentral:lncRNA from 13 species
AUGUGGUGAAGGGGAGGAAGGCAGCAAAUCACACUGCCAUGUGUGUACCUAUGCAACUAUCUUGCAUGUUCUGCACAUGUACCCCAAAACCUAAAAUGCAAUUAAAAAAAAAAAAGAUUUAAUGAGUCUCAGUUCCAGCAGUCUUUGAAUGUUAUUUUAUUUGCUUUAUGUUGUGUGGCAACCUUAAUGAGUAAAACAAAUCAGUGAGUAUUUUUACCUAUUUUUGUCCUUCUUUUUACCUUUUUUUGCUACUUUCUGUACUUCAAUAAAUACAUGUAUUAAGUGAAAAAAUAAAAUCCCUACUUGCUAAUUCUAUAGGACCUGUCAUAGAAGUUUCUCUUAUACUGGCUCCAUGUCACCAAUUUGGUUCCUGUGCUCCAGUUGGCUGGCAUUAAGUGCAGUUUAAACUUGGAAUUAAUUAAUUCAAGUGACAUUUGAAAUCAUGAACUUAAUAUCAGGGCAAUAAACUAUGGGAGUUGUAUCAGUCAUGUUCAAAACCAGAAAAGAGAAACUCAAUUAAAUAUUUAAAGUAGAUGAACCUUAGCAUAGGGAAUUGGUUUAAAAUGUGAGGGAAUAGCUAAGAACAAAAAAGAGGAGAGCGUGGCAAUCUGAGCAUUACUCAAAGCAGGAAAGCUCUUUCACUCCUCAGGGUGGAGAAACAAAGGGAGGCUAUGAUGUCAUAGAGCCUGAGAAUCAAGGGUUAACUGAUGGAAUAUGGAACCAAGGUGGAGCUCUCAGAUAGGAGAUAGAGUCAUGGAUGGGGCUCUGUCCCAACUCACACAAGGACUGUUAGAUAUCCGCUCUGAGGUUAUCUCCUUGAUCUUGAAAGACUAUGUCCUAGCUCUCUACUUGGGUCAGAUGUCCCUGUUCUGCUAUCAGCAUCACUCCUGA